rnacentral:tRNA from 1 species
GGCAAUGUGGCUCAGUGGUGGAGUGCCAGCUUUGCAUGCUGAAAGUCCCAAGUUCAAUUCCUGGCAUCUCCA